rnacentral:rRNA from 1 species
AGAGUUUGAUUAUGGCUCAGAUUGAACGCUGGCGGCAGGCCUAACACAUGCAAGUCGAGCGGUAACAGGAAGUAGCUUGCUACUUCGCUGACGAGCGGCGGACGGGUGAGUAAUGCCUGGGAAUAUGCCUUGAUGUGGGGGAUAACUAUUGGAAACGAUAGCUAAUACCGCAUAAUGCCCACGGGCCAAAGAGGGGGAUCUUCGGACCUCUCGCGUCAAGAUUAGCCCAGGUGGGAUUAGCUAGUUGGUGGGGUAAAGGCUCACCAAGGCGACGAUCCCUAGCUGGUCUGAGAGGAUGAUCAGCCACACUGGAACUGAGACACGGUCCAGACUCCUACGGGAGGCAGCAGUGGGGAAUAUUGCACAAUGGGGGAAACCCUGAUGCAGCCAUGCCGCGUGUAUGAAGAAGGCCUUCGGGUUGUAAAGUACUUUCAGCAGUGAGGAAGGUGGUAAUGUUAAUAGCAUCAUCAUUUGACGUUAGCUGCAGAAGAAGCACCGGCUAACUCCGUGC